GACGAAGGGGGCUAGCGUUGUUCGGAAUUACUGGGCGUAAAGCGCGUGUAGGCGGUUGUCCAAGUCGGGUGUGAAAGCCUUGAGCUCAACUCAAGAAAUGCACUCGAUACUGGGCGACUAGAGUGCCGGAGAGGAUAGUGGAAUUCCCAGUGUAGUGGUGAAAUUCGUAGAUAUUCGGAAGAACACCAGUGGCGAAGGCGGCUCACUGGACCGGUAUUGACGCUGAGGUGCGGAAGCGUGGGGAGCAAACAGG
rnacentral:rRNA from 1 species